ACAUACCUGAGAUGUUCGCCAAGCUUAUCGUAUUCAACCUACAUAUGAGAUACGGGAUUUGCGAUAUUAUUAUUGAUGUCGGGCUUCAAGCAUUUAGCUUCAUAUUAUGACGGAAGAUGGCAGAGAGGUAAUAUGAGCAGAACCCACCUGCGAGGAGCAGGUUUUGAAUAUAUAAGCAAACGGCAUGUUGGGGUGCU
rnacentral:other from 1 species